UGCUCUCUCUCUCUCUCUCUCUCUCUCUCUAUUCUCUCUCUAGGAGGCAGAAAAACACUGACGAGAGGGUCAGAAGAAGCCUCCCCAGAUCUCCGCUGCGAGGAGAGAGGGAUCUUGAGCGCCACAGUUUUCGUGGAUGCCCCUCGGUAAGCUUCCGUCCCCAGCUGCUCUAUCUACGCCCCAGCAGCCUCGUUUUGACGAAUAGCUCUCUCUCUCUCCCUCUCUCUCGCUCGCUCGCUCUCUCGCUCUCUCGUAAUGCCCUCUUCUUUAGCUCACCUUCUUGCUCCCUCCCGGGUAGGGCCGAGAUCAAGAACUCUGGUGCUCCAAGGCAUGGUAUCGUGACCAUUUUUGUUGAUGUCGCGGGCUAUCCUACAUGGGUUUGGGCCUUCCCGAGCGAAGCAUUCCUCGUAGCUGAGGAUUUCCCCUCGCAAAUGGCGCAAUGCCGCUGCUGCGGGUGUAAAAUUUUCCGGCGAAAUUUGGUUUCUCUGGAGAUAUUCUCAUCUUGAUUAGCUUUCUUUAACCUCCGGCCAGCGCUGGCCGAUCUUGGCCCUCUUCCGCCCCCCGAUGCUCCCAUUUCUAUAAGUUGAUUGCUGUUCGAGAUUCUCGUUCAGAGCUCGAAUUAUGGUGUAGCUGGGGGCCAACACGUUUCAGAUUUUUCUAGAUCAGCUGGGGUAGGGUCACACCUUUCGUGCUUCCUUGACCUCUUAGAAUACUCUAUCUUCGAAGAUUAUGAACCUCUUAGAUCAGCUCGGGUAUGCUUCAGGAUUACGAACAUGUUUCAUCUUUGGUCUCUUGGUUUUUUCUUCUUUUGUUCUUCGCUGCCGCAGCAUGGUGCAGUUUAGAUCAGGGAAUGAAAUGGUCGUUGAGUUGGUGCAUCCUUCAUGUGGAGCUUCUUUUCUGGGAAGCGAGUUAUUUUGUAGAUUUAAUUUAUUUCAAUCAAGUAUAUAUAUUUAGGAAAAUUCUACGUUGUUAUCGGCGAUUUUUUCUGGAGACCCAGAGCAAUAUAGUUUGGUGGGUAAGGAAUUUGGAUAGAUUUUGGUCAUUAAUUGUUCUUAUCUUGAAUAACAUCACUUGAGGUAUUGGUGGGAAUGUAGUAGUGUCCAUGGUAUGUCCUUGUCAUCUCUGGACCAGUUAAAUUUCUUCCAUUUUUCAUUCUUUAGUUGCCCAUUUGAAAGCUGUGGAUUUUCCAUGCUGCCAGAGUGAGAGGCUGCACAAGAUUCUCAACUUUGUCUGCACAAUUCGUGGUCUCUCGGCAUCGGAACCACCAGGGGGGGCGGCGCUUGGCUGAGAAGGGGGCGACUUCUCCUCUGGGACUUGAGCCUCUGGACUUGUUUCAGACGCUCGGCAGCUUCACAGCCGAGCCGAUAGGAGGACAGCAAAGAAGAGCCCUCAGAGGAGGCCCCUCUCUGCUGGAAGGAAACCCGGAAAUCGGCCGCCCUGGUUUCGAUCUCCUCCGCCUCCUCAAGCCAAGCCAAGGCCUGGUGGGUCGGCCCCAUGUUCUCAAGCUCCCCUUUUCUCAUCUCCACCUGUA
rnacentral:lncRNA from 1 species